rnacentral:rRNA from 1 species
GACGAACGCUGGCGGCGUGCCUAAUACAUGCAAGUAGAACGCUGAAGAGAGGAGCUUGCUCUUCUUGGAUGAGUUGCGAACGGGUGAGUAACGCGUAGGUAACCUGCCUGGUAGCGGGGGAUAACUAUUGGAAACGAUAGCUAAUACCGCAUGAUAUUGAAUAUCGCAUGAUAAUUAAUUGAAAGGUGCAAUUGCAUCACUACCAGAUGGACCUGCGUUGUAUUAGCUAGUUGGUGAGGUAACGGCUCACCAAGGCGACGAUACAUAGCCGACCUGAGAGGGUGAUCGGCCACACUGGGACUGAGACACGGCCCAGACUCCUACGGGAGGCAGCAGUAGGGAAUCUUCGGCAAUGGGGGGAACCCUGACCGAGCAACGCCGCGUGAGUGAAGAAGGUUUUCGGAUCGUAAAGCUCUGUUGUAAGAGAAGAACGGGUGUGAGAGUGGAAAGUUCACGCUGUGAC